rnacentral:rRNA from 1 species
AGCGAACGCUGGCGGCAGGCUUAACACAUGCAAGUCGAGCGGGCGUAGCAAUACGUCAGCGGCAGACGGGUGAGUAACGCGUGGGAACGUACCUUUUGGUUCGGAACAACACAGGGAAACUUGUGCUAAUACCGGAUAAGCCCUUACGGGGAAAGAUUUAUCGCCGAAAGAUCGGCCCGCGUCUGAUUAGCUAGUUGGUGAGGUAACGGCUCACCAAGGCGACGAUCAGUAGCUGGUCUGAGAGGAUGAUCAGCCACAUUGGGACUGAGACACGGCCCAAAUCCCACCGGAAGGCAGAAGUGGGGAAUAUUGGACAUUGGGGGCACCCCGAACCCCGCCUGGCCGCGUAAGUGAUGAAGGCCCUAGGGUUGUAAAGCUCUUUUUGGCGGGAAGAUAAGGCGGGACCCGAAAAAAAAACCCCCGGCAAAUUUCGG